CAUGUUAAAUAGUAAAAAGAGCAAAAAAAUAAAACUUGAUAAACACAACAUUGUAACGAUAAAGAAGAACAAAAAGCACGACAAAUAUUGUUUAGCAAUAAAAAGACAAAUAACAAAGCUUAGUCCUAAGAAUUCCCUAGUGGAGUUGUCAUUCUUUCACACCCGAACAUCACGACGACCAUUUAAAAAUGAUCACUCGAUUGGAAAAAAGAACAGAUAUCUGACAUUUUUUUUAGAGGAAAAUGUAUAGUUCAAGGAGUCGCCACCUAGUAUUAUGGUCACUAGGAACCCUAACUAGUCAAUAGAGAUUCUAUGGUACAAGACUGGUUACGCCAAAGAGAAGAUGUUAUCACUCUUUAAGCGUCCUACCUGAGGCAGCUGCAUUGCUGAUUUUGUCUAAAAUUGCUAAGAAUCUGUUCUCUUUUUCCUUUCUUAUUUUUCCUUUAAUGUUCAUGACUCUGGCAUCAAUGAGCAAUUCCUGCGAAUAUUUCCAUCUAUGGAGUUGGUAAAUAUCACGCAAAUCCAAAAAAAAAUUUACAUCUAUGGAGUUGGUAAAUAUACGAUACUCCUAACUCCAGCGUUUGUGAAUAAUUUCGUAAAAAAAAUGAAUUUGAAGAAGAAAUUUUCUAUGCCAUUUUUUUCUUGUUCAUCCUUUAUUAUUAUUUGCUAUUUUUAAAAUGAAAAUAAAAAGGCAUUGCACAACAUAUUUGCAUUUAACAGUAAUAAUCUACAGAUUGAGCACAUAGCUAAAAAAAUACAAAACGCAAUGAAAAAAAAAAAAAUCAAAGUACGAGGGGCCACAAAUAAAACAAUGAAGAUCCCCAAAUAUUUUUGAAAUUUUUUGAUAUAAAAAGGGGCUUGUUUGACCAAAUAUCAACUAGAGUGAGCAUACAAAUUAUGGUCAAGGCAUAAGGCUGUGUUUUGCCAAACUCACCCUUAAUAACAUAAGUAGAGCUGGAUAAAAAAGCCCAGGCCCGACCCAUUUUUUUCUUCCUUUUUUUUUUUUGUAUUUUAGGCCGAUUCCGAUGCAGCCCAUGGGGGCUGGGCAGGACCCAACCAGCCUAGCCUGGUCUCUGGCCCAAGUUAGUGACCCGACUGGCAAAACACACCUGAACUUGUUCACGUGUGUAUGGCACAGUGAGAAGGUAAUUAAUUACCUUCGCACAAUGCUAAAUGCACAAAAGAUUUAAAAAGAAUGAAAAGGGAGAGGAAAGCUUACCCUGUUUGGAAAUUGCUCUGGAGUUGAACAAGUAAAAAGGGAUGGCCACCGCGCAGUGACCCCCCACAUCUGUUUUGUGUGUUCUCUUCUUCUCUAUUUUCCUCUCUCUCGUCCCUUUGUUUUUUUUUCUUGCUCUCUCUGUUUUCCUCCUCUACCGUUCUCUCUGUUUUCUGUCUUUUUUUCUGUUGAUUUUCUCUCCCCUCGUGGCUUUCUUCCCUUCUGCCUUUUAUAGGAUUCCAUGCUGCUUAUCUUCUUAGGACCAUGAUAAGGUCGGGGGACAUUGUGUUUUAGC
rnacentral:lncRNA from 1 species